AGUGGGCGAGAGUGGGUACUUAACGCGUAAGCGGUUAUCAUGGCGAAUUCAACGAUGUGCAACAUUAAAGUAUUUGAAGGUCAACGAAGGUCAAUUCUGGCGAGCCACGAUACAGCUCGUGUUUGCAUCAAGGUUGCGUCAGGUUUACCCCUGUGAGUAGGGGGUAGUAGAAUACUCUCACAGUAUUCCCUGCUUGUCGUAAGAGGCGACUAAAAGGGAAAGGGUGAAUGGUGUGUGAAUGCUCUCUGAUGAGGGACUUGCCUUCCAUUAUUAAAAGAAAUAAUUAUGGAAUUUUGCAUGUAGCAUGCUGUUUAGUUCAGUUAAUACUGUUUAAUAUACGCAUGCAAAUUUACUUUAGUGAUGCGAGAAAAAAGUGUGCUUCUAAGGGUUCAUUCGUGUUAUUUCUUUAUAAAUUUCAUAUUAUAUUUCAGGACAUCUUAGGUGAUAAGACAAAUACACAAGAUUACCGGUAUACACUUUAAGCAGCGAUAAUAUUUGUACAUUAUACAAUGACUCAAGUAUGACUUUUCUAUAUAGUUUGUGUAAAUGCGCAACCAAAAUUUAUAGUAAUUGUUUUACAAAAUAUAACAAUACACGUAUAGAAUAUUUAUACAUAUGAUAAACAGUAAAUAAUAAUAAUAUUAAUGAUAAUGUGUGAUAUAUGGUAACUUUUACUAAUCAUAAGACGAUAACUAAAAUGAAAAAAAUGACUUCUUACUUUAUAUUAUGGCACUAGAAUUGUAGAUAGCGGAAGACAGUGAUUUACAUAAUAAUAUUUUUGUAAGAAAGCAUACAAAUAUUAAAAACGAAUUUGUGCAGAUGUUUAUAAAUUUAAAUUUGAUAUUUUCCACUAAUUUAGACGUAUUUCGGUUAUAGUGUAAAUGACAAUACCAACAAAGUUUAAAUUGAUGGUAUAAUAUUGAAAUGUUAUAAAUUCUAUUAGGAAAAGAUAAAAAUAUUGUAAAUAUCUUAUAAAAUAAACUUUUUUCAGAGUUCAUCCGUAAAA